rnacentral:rRNA from 1 species
AACGAACGCUGGCGGCAUGCCUAACACAUGCAAGUCGAACGAGACCUUCGGGUCUAGUGGCGCACGGGUGCGUAACGCGUGGGAAUCUGCCCUUUGCUUCGGAAUAACAGUUAGAAAUGACUGCUAAUACCGGAUGAUGUCUUCGGACCAAAGAUUUAUCGGCAAAGGAUGAGCCCGCGUAGGAUUAGGUAGUUGGUGGGGUAAAGGCCUACCAAGCCGACGAUCCUUAGCUGGUCUGAGAGGAUGAUCAGCCACACUGGGACUGAGACACGGCCCAGACUCCUACGGGAGGCAGCAGUGGGGAAUAUUGGACAAUGGGCGCAAGCCUGAUCCAGCAAUGCCGCGUGAGUGAUGAAGGCCUUCGGGUCGUAAAGCUCUUUUACCAGGGAUGAUAAUGACAGUACCUGGAGAAUAAGCUCCGGCUAACUCCGUGCCAGCAGCCGCGGUAAUACGGAGGGAGCUAGCGUUGUUCGGAAUUACUGGGCGUAAAGAGUACGUAGGCGGCUAUUCAAGUCAGAGGUGAAAGCCCGGGGCUCAACCCCGGAACUGCCUUUGAAACUAGGUAGCUAGAAUCUUGGAGAGGUCAGUGGAGUUCCGAGUGUAGAGGUGAAAUUCGUAGAUAUUCGGAAGAACACCAGUGGCGAAGGCGACUGACUGGACAAGUAUUGACGCUGAGGUAC